rnacentral:misc_RNA from 1 species
UACGGAAGGUCCGGGCGUUAUCCGGAUUUAUUGGGUUUGAAGGGAGCGUAGGCGGACUUUCAAGUCAGUGGUAAAAUCGUGUGGCUCAACCAUACCUCGCCAUUGAAACUGGAAGUCUUGAGUGCACGCAGGGGUGCCGGAAUUCAUGGUGUAGCGGUGAAAUGCUUAGAUAUCAUGAAGAACUCCGAUCGCGAAGGCAAGUGCCCGGAGUGCAACUGACGCUGAGGCUCGAAGGUGCGGGUAUCGAACAGG